rnacentral:tRNA from 1 species
GGCUACGUAGCUCCAGUUGGUUAGAGCACAUCACUCAUAAUAUUGAUGGGGUCUGAGUUCCGGAAUCCCGUCGUAGCCACCA